UGUUGGGUUAAGUCCCGCAACGAGCGCAACCCACGUCUUUAGUUGCCAGCAUUCAGUUGGGCACUCUAGAGAGACCGCCGGUGAUAAACCGGAGGAAGGUGUGGAUGACGUCAAGUCAUCAUGCCCCUUACAUCCUGGGCUACACACGUACUACAAUGCUACGGACAAAGGGCAGCAAACUCGCGAGAGCUAGCAAAUCCCAUAAACCGUGGCUCAGUUCAGAUCGUAGGCUGCAACUCGCCUACGUGAAGGAGGAAUCGCUAGUAAUCGCAGGUCAGCAUACUGCGGUGAAUACGUUCCCGGGCCUUGUACACACCGCCCGUCACACCAUGGAAGUUGGCCAUGCCCGAAGUCGUUACUCCAACCCGCAAGGGAGGAGGACGCCGAAGGUGGGGCUGAUGACUGGGGUGAAGUCGUAACAAGGUAGCCGUACCGGAAGGUGCGGCUGGAUCACCUCCUAAC
rnacentral:rRNA from 1 species